AUUGAACGCUGGCGGCAUGCUUUACACAUGCAAGUCGGACGGCAGCACAGAGAAGCUUGCUUCUUGGGUGGCGAGUGGCGAACGGGUGAGUAAUAUAUCGGAACGUACCGAGUAAUGGGGGAUAACUAAUCGAAAGAUUAGCUAAUACCGCAUAUUCUCUGAGGAGGAAAGCAGGGGACCUUCGGGCCUUGCGUUAUUCGAGCGGCCGAUAUCUGAUUAGCUAGUUGGUGGGGUAAAGGCCUACCAAGGCGACGAUCAGUAGCGGGUCUGAGAGGAUGAUCCGCCACACUGGGACUGAGACACGGCCCAGACUCCUACGAGAGGCAGCAGUGGGGAAUUUUGGACAAUGGGCGCAAGCCUGAUCCAGCCAUGCCGCGUGUCUGAAGAAGGCCUUCGGGUUGUAAAGGACUUUUGUCAGGGAAGAAAAGGCUGUUGCUAAUAUCGACAGCUGAUGACGGUACCUGAAGAAUAAGCACCGGCUAACUACGUG
rnacentral:rRNA from 1 species